AGGUACCGGCCCGGACUGC
rnacentral:misc_RNA from 1 species